rnacentral:misc_RNA from 1 species
AACCUUAUGGACCUGCGGGCGUAUACCUGCGGAGGGAUCAUUACUGAGUGAGGGCCUUCGGGCUCGACCUCCAACCCUUUGUGAACACAACUUGUUGCUUCGGGGGCGACCCUGCCGUUUCGACGGCGAGCGCCCCCGGAGGCCUUCAAACACUGCAUCUUUGCGUCGGAGUUUAAGUAAGUUAAACAAAACUUUUAACAACGGAUCU